CGCGGUACACCGUGGGUGGAUAUG
rnacentral:siRNA from 1 species